rnacentral:rRNA from 1 species
UGAGGAAUAUUGGUCAAUGGGCGGAAGCCUGAACCAGCCAUGCCGCGUGAAGGAAGAAGGUCCUAUGGAUUUUAAACUUCUUUUGUCGGAGAGCAAUAAGGGUCUCGUGAGAUCCGAUGAGAGUAUCCGACGAAUAAGCAUCGGCUAACUCCGUGCCAGCAGCCGCGGUAAUACGGAAGGUCCGGGCGUUAUCCGGAUUUAUUGGGUUUAAAGGGAGCGUAGGCCGGCUUUUAAGCGUGUUGUGAAAUGCCGCGGCUCAACCGUGGCACUGCAGCGCGAACUGGAGGCCUUGAGUGCGCGGGAGGUAGGCGGAAUUCGUGGUGUAGCGGUGAAAUGCUUAGAUAUCACGAAGAACUCCGAUUGCGAAGGCAGCUUACCGUAGCG